rnacentral:misc_RNA from 1 species
GCAGUUCUAUUAUACAAUGACCUAGGAAUGAAUAGUAUUUAUAUUUGAUUGUUAUCUUCACUCUCUUCUAUCAUUGUAUCUACUAAUAUUCUCUUUGCCUUCAUCUAUAACUAACCAGAUUUAACAUGCAUUUUAACACCACCUGUGAGUAGUUGGUGAAUAGAAAUCAAGUGGUUGCAAAGAGCAAUCAAAUUUGAAAAUUAAAAAGGC